GGUGAACGCUGGCGGCGUGCUUAAGACAUGCAAGUCGAACGGCAGUCUUCGGACUGUAGUGGCGCACGGGUGAGUAACGCGUAACUGACCUACCCCAAAGUCGCGGAUAACGAUUCGAAAGAAUCGCUAAUACGUGAUGUGCUGUCAGAUUGUGUUCUGCCAGUAAAGGUUGAUUGCUUUGGGAUGGGGGUGCGUUCCAUCAGCUUGUUGGUGGGGUAAAGGCCCACCAAGGCGACGACGGAUAGCCGGCCUGAGAGGUUGGCCUGCCACAGGGGCACUGAGACACGGGUCCCACUCCUACGGGAGGCAGCAGUUAGGAAUCUUCCACAAUGGGCGAAAGCCUGAUGGAGCGACGCCGCGUGAGGGAUGAAGGUCUUCGGAUCGUAAACCUCUGAAUCAGGGACGAAAGACACUUCGGUGGGAUGACGGUACCUGAGUAAUAGCACCGGCUAACUCCGUGCCAGCCGCCGCCGUAAUAC
rnacentral:rRNA from 1 species